GGUAUGGGGGACUUUUGGGAUAGCAUUGAAAAUGUAAAUGAGCUAAAUACCUAAUAAAAAAUGGAAGAAAAAAAAAAAAGAAAAUACAAUGUGGAAGAGGAUGUGCUCUAAUAAAAUCACCAACAUGUAUGCCCCUGAAGUACUGAAAAACUAUAAAACUGUAGAAUAAUCUUUAGUAUAUUUAAGAUUUUAAAACCUGUUGGAGAUGGGGCUGGAGAAAUGACUCAGUGGUUAAGAACAUUUGCUGCUUUUGUAGAGAACUUGAGUUUGGUUCUCAGCACCCAUGUCAGACAGAUAAUAAUGCUUGUAAUUACAGCUCCAGGGCAUAUGAUUCCCUCUUCUGAUCUCCACAGGGCACCAUACUUAUGUGCACAAAUGUACAUAUAGAUCCAUAUAAUAUACAUAAUUAAAAAUUAAAAUAGUAGAAAGACUGUUGGAGAGACAUAGUUUAUUUUUGAUUACUAGGCUUUAAAGGGUCUUUUAAACUGACAGUUUAUCCUAUCUUAAAUGUGGUUUGCUUUUCAUGUUUAUUUUUAGCAUGUGGGUUUGUGCACAUGAAUGUGGAUGCUGGAACAGGUAAGCGGUGUCGGCUCCUCUGGUGCUAGUUAGAGUUUGUGAGCCAUAGGUUGUAGGAGCAGUGUGUGCACUUAAUGCUGUGCCAGCUCUCCAGUCCCAUUGUGUUUCCUUAAAUCCACAGCGAGAAUUUCCAAACAAGGGCUUUUCACACUGCACACAUUGUUUUAAUUUUAUUUUUUAUAUCUGUGUAAAGAUAAAUGUGAGAAUAUCUAGGAAGGGAGUAGAAGGACAAUAAGAAAAUAACCAGAAAGAACUUUUUUGAAAAGAAAGGGAGAACUUAACCUAGCUUGUUAAAACUGAAUACAAUAAACAACAAACUACUUGGUCACAAUCGAGUGGAAUUACAUGAGAAUUUCGGAGAGUAAAGCAGACGAUAUUCACCAUAGAGUGUAAUACAGAGGAGGACAAAUCAAAGUCAUUUGGCUUAAACAUUUAUGUUUAAAUGUUUGAGACAGGAGGGUCUCACUAUUUCACCCCAUCUAGCCUUAGAAUCACAUUGUAGACUAGGUUGCCUCAAGCUUAUGACAAUCUUUCUGCCCCCUAAAUCCUGGUAUUAUGAACAUAUGCCACUAUGACCAGCAUGAACAAUGUUUGUUGAUGGCAUGUUUGUGUGGCAUUACUACAACAUACUGAGAAUGCCUUGGAAUCCAGAAAGAGAAAGUCUCACAUUUCUAUUUUCUGGUUCUGAGUGGGCACAGACAAAACUAAUUGGUAAGAUAUAAGGGUGUAGGAAAUGAUGAUGUUUUGUGUGUGUGUGUGUAGUUAGGGAAGGUAACAUUUGAGCCCUGUGUGUGUGUUGUGUGUAUGUGUGUAAUUAGGGAAGGUAACAUUUGAGCGGAAAUCUAAAUUAAGUUCUUCAAAAUCACUAAAGCCCCUAGAUGUAAGUGUACUUAAUUUGCUUUUAUGAAUAUUAAGUGAGUGAUGAGGAGCAGAACAGCUCAGUUCAGUCUAUGUGCUUGGUGAAGUGUUAAUUGCAAGUAGCAUGUAGAAUAGCAGCAUAAGAACAGUUUCACAGUUUAGAUUCCAUUUACAUAAAACAUAUCAAAGACAUCUGUAAUUUGUUCAUCUGAAGAUGGACUUGUGAGAAAGCUAAGAAGGAAGAGUUAUUUUCUAUAAAUUUAAACAUGUUUGAUUCUGAUAGUAUUUUUAGAAGUUGUUUAAGGUAUGAUGCUAUAACUUUUUUUUUUUAAGUUAAGAAAAACUAAAAGAACAUUCUUAGAAGUUUGAGUGUAUCAGACAACAAAAGUAUACUAAAGGGGGGUGGGCCUUGGAGUCUGAUAGACCUGAGUUCAAAUACCAGCCUCAUGACUCCUGCUUAUUUAUGGUAUAAGUUCUGUGAUGCUGUAAAUUUGGCUCUUCAUAGUUAGAACAGGACUGAUAACACGCCCAAAGAAUAUAGGAAAUGAAUAUAGUUAGUCUGCCCCAGUGCAGACUUUCUGUCUUACUUUAUCUGCAGUGAUACUUCAGUCAGAAGCUGAUGGGUAUGCUGACAUGUUGGUGUCCAAAUUAAAAGUGAAAAACUUAUCGGCUAGAAAUAGAAAUAAAAAUCUGCUUUAAAACUUAUACUGCAAUGGCUGAUUUGUUUAUAAUCUGCUUUGUUCAAGUGAGUUAGGCUGGAGGUGAAGCUCAGUGGUAGAAGACUUGUCUAACAUGUAGUACACUCUGGUUUCAAUCUGCAGUAGGAAUAAGUCAAAUACAGCAUAAUAUACAAAUAUUUUCAUAAGGCAGAUAGUGUGAUCUACAUUAGAGAUAGAAAGAAACAAUGAAAAAAAUGGAAAAUAUUAGAGUUAACAAAAUGGGGCAGAAGGGGAUAAAGAUUGUUUUUAUUUGGAUGUAGACAAAGGUUCACACAUGUUCUUGUUCUGCUUUUUUGAGAGAUAGGCCCUCUGUCUGUACAGCACAUCUGGCUCACUGAAUACAUUCUUAGUAGUAGAUUUGUGGAAAUUCUUGUGUUUGUUUGUGAAUAUACUGCAAUAUGUAUUUUGUGUUUCUCAAACUAAAAUUCAUCAGCUUUUGCAGAGAGUAAAUUCAAAAUUACUGUAUAAUAUGCCAUCAUCAGCAUUUUAACACUCUAAGAAUUGUUAAAUAAUGCAAUGCUAUGUAUCUGUAUUGUAAAUCUGUAAAGCUUCAGUUUUGAGCCUUCUUAUAUAAGUAUUUUCAGAUUAACUGCUUAGAAAAUACACUGGUCU
rnacentral:lncRNA from 1 species